UACAGAGGGGGCAAGCGUUGUUCGGAAUUACUGGGCGUAAAGGGCGCGUAGGCGGCCUGUUAAGUCGAACGUGAAAUCCCUGGGCUCAACCCAGGAACUGCGUCCGAUACUGGCAGGCUUGAAUUCGGGAGAGGGAUGCGGAAUUCCAGGUGUAGCGGUGAAAUGCGUAGAUAUCUGGAGGAAUACCGGUGGCGAAGGCGGCAUCCUGGACCGGCAUUGACGCUGAUGAGCGAAAGCUAGGGGAGCAAACGGG
rnacentral:rRNA from 1 species